rnacentral:rRNA from 1 species
ACGAACGCUGGCGGCGUGCCUAAUACAUGCAAGUAGAACGCACAGUUUAUACCGUAGCUUGCUACACCAUAGACUGUGAGUUGCGAACGGGUGAGUAACGCGUAGGUAACCUGCCUGGUAGCGGGGGAUAACUAUUGGAAACGAUAGCUAAUACCGCAUAAUAUUAAUUAUUGCAUGAUAAUUAAUUGAAAGGUGCAAUUGCACCACUACCAGAUGGACCUGCGUUGUAUUAGCUAGUAGGUGAGGUAACGGCUCACCUAGGCGACGAUACAUAGCCGACCUGAGAGGGUGAUCGGCCAAACUGGGACUGAGACACGGCCCAGACUCCUACGGGAGGCAGCAGUAGGGAAUCUUCGGCAAUAGACGAAAGUCUGACCGAGCAACGCCGCGUGAGUGAAGAAGGUUUUCGGAUCGUAAAGCUCUGUUGUAAGAGAAGAACGGGUGUGAGAGCGGAAAGUUCACACUGUGACGGUAUCUUACCAGAAAGGGACGGCUAACUACGUG